rnacentral:rRNA from 1 species
GACGAACGCUGGCGGCGUGCUUAACACAUGCAAGUCGAGCGGUAAGGCCCUUUCGGGGGUACGACGAGCGGCGAACGGGUGAGUAACACGUGGGUGACCUGCCCUCAGCUCUGGGAGUAAGCCUGGGAAACCGGGUCUAAUACCGGAUAUGACUCCAUGACGCAUGUUGUGGGGUGGAAAGCCUUGUGCGGCUGAGGAUGGGCCCGCGGCCUAUCAGCUUGUUGGUGGGGUGAUGGCCUACCAAGGCGACGACGGGUAGCCGGCCUGAGAGGCGACCGGCCACACUGGGACUGAGACACGGCCCAGACUCCUACGGGAGGCAGCAGUGGGGAAUCUUGCGCAAUGGGCGAAAGCCUGACGCAGCGACGCCGCGUGAGGGAUGACGGCCU